rnacentral:rRNA from 1 species
AAUAGAUACCCGGGUAGUCCUAGCCGUAAACGAUGAACACUAGGCGUAGUCGGUAUCGACCCCGGCUGUGCCGUAGCUAACGCAUUAAGUGUUCCGCCUGGGGAGUACGGCCGCAAGGCUAAAAUUCAAAGGAAUUGACGGGGGCCCGCACAAGCAGCGGAGCGUGUGGUUUAAUUCGUCGCAACGCGAAGAACCUUACCAGGGCUUGACAUGUGGCGGAAAACGGCGGAAACGUCGUCCUCCCGCAAGGGACCGUCAUGCAGGUGUUGCAUGGCUGUCGUCAGCUCGUGUCGUGAGAUGUUGGGUUAAGUCCCGCAACGAGCGCAACCCCCGUGGCAUGUUGUAUCUCUCAUGCCAGACUGCCGAGAGAAACUCGGAGGAAGGUGGGGAUGACGCCAAGUCAGCAUGGCCCUUACGUCCUGGGCUACACACACGCUACAAUGGCCGGUACAACGGGUUGCCAAACCGCGAGGUGGAGCUAAUCCCUUAAAGCCGGUCUCAGUUCGGAUUGCAGGCUGCAACUCGCCUGCAUGAAGCC